ACUCCUACGGGAGGCAGCAGUGGGGAAUAUUGCACAAUGGGCGAAAGCCUGAUGCAGCGACGCCGCGUGAGGGACGACGGCCUCGGUUGUAACCUACUUUCUAGUAGGGAACGAAGGCAUCAUUUUGUUGGUGUUGAGGGUACGUUGCAGAAGAAGCACCGGCUAACUACGUGCCAGCAGCCGCGGUAAUACGUAGGGUGCAAGCGUUAUCCGGAAUUAUUGGGCGUAAAGAGCUCGUAGGCGGUUUGUCGCGUCUGUCGUGAAAGUCCGGGGCGUCAACUCCGGAUCUGCGGUGGGUACGGGGCAGGACUAGAGUGAUGUAGGGGAGACUGGAAUUCCUGGUGUAGCGGUGGAAUGCGCAGAUAUCAGGAGGAACACCGAUGGCGAAGGCAGGUCUCUGGGCAUUAACUGACGCUGAGGAGCGAAAGCAUGGGGAGC
rnacentral:rRNA from 1 species